UUUCCGNAUCUUGGGUUUAAAGGGUCCGUAGGCGGUUUAGUAAGUCAGUGGUGAAAGCCCAUCGCUCAACGGUGGAACGGCCAUUGAUACUGCUAGACUUGAAUUAUUAGGAAGUAACUAGAAUAUGUAGUGUAGCGGUGAAAUGCUUAGAGAUUACAUGGAAUACCAAUUGCGAAGGCAGGUUACUACUAAUGGAUUGACGCUGAUGGACGAAAGCGUGGGUAGCGAACAGGAUUAGAUACCCUGGUAGUCCACGCCGUAAACGAUGGAUACUAGCUGUUGGGCGCAAGUUCAGUGGCUAAGCGAAAGUGAUAAGUAUCCCACCUGGGGAGUACGUUCGCAAGAAUGAAACUCAAAGGAAUUGACGGGGGCCCGCACAAGCGGUGGAGCAUGUGGUUUAAUUCGAUGAUACGCGAGGAACCUUACCAAGGCUUAAAUGUAGAUUGACCGGUUUGGAAACAGAUCUUUCGCAAGACAAUUUACAAGGUGCUGCAUGGUUGUCGUCAGCUCGUGCCGUGAGGUGUCAGGUUAAGUCCUAUAACGAGCGCAACCCCUGUUGUUAGUUGCCAGCGAGUCAUGUCGGGAACUCUAACGAGACUGCCAGUGCAAACUGUGAGGAAGGUGGGGAUGACGUCNAAUCAUCACGGCCCUUACNCCUUGGNCUACACACGUGCUACAAUGGCCGGU
rnacentral:rRNA from 1 species